rnacentral:rRNA from 1 species
AGAGUUUGAUCAUGGCUCAGAAUCAACGCUGGCGGCGCGCUUAACACAUGCAAGUCGCACGAGAAAGCGGGAGCAAUCUCGCAAGUACAGUGGCGUACGGGUGAGUAACACGUGGGGUAAUCUACCUUUUAGUGGGGAAUAACGCUGGGAAACCGGCGCUAAUACCGCAUAAGCCCGAGAGAGGAAAGCAGCAAUGCGCUGAAAGAGGAGCCCGCGGCCGAUUAGCUGGUUGGUAGGGUAAAAGCCUACCAAGGCAUAGAUCGGUAGCCGGCCUGAGAGGGCACACGGCCACACUGGCACUGAAACACGGGCCAGACUCCUACGGGAGGCAGCAGUGGGGAAUCUUGCACAAUGGGGGCAACCCUGAUGCAGCGACGCCGCGUGAGCGAUGAAGCCCUUCGGGGUGUAAAGCUCUUUCGGCAGGGACGAUAAUGACGGUACCUGCAGAAGCAGCUGCGGCUAACUACGUGCCAGCAGCCGCGGUAAUACGUAGGCAGCGAGCGUUGUUCGGAGUUACUGGGCGUAAAGGGUGUGUAGGCGGUUUUCUAAGUUUGGUGUGAAAUCUCCCGGCUCAACCGGGAGGGUGCGCCGAAAACUGGGAGACUAGAGUGCGGGAUGGGGGAGUAGAAUUCCUGGUGUAGCGGUGAAAUGCGUAGAUAUCAGGAGGAAUACCGGUGGUGUAGACGGCUCUCUGGACCGCCACUGACGCUGAGACACGAAAGCGUGGGUAGCAAACAGGAUUAGAUACCCUAGUAGUCC